rnacentral:rRNA from 1 species
UAGCCUUGACAUAUUAUAGAAUUCAGUAGAGAUACAGAAGUGCCUUCGGGAGCUAUAUUACAGGUGCUGCACGGCUGUCGUCAGCUCGUGUCGUGAGAUGUUGGGUUAAGUCCCGCAACGAGCGCAACCCUCGUCCUUAGUUGCCAGCAGGUUAAGCUGGGCACUCUAAGGAGACUGCCUUCGUAAGGAGGAGGAAGGUGAGGACGACGUCAAGUCAUCAUGGCCCUUAUGGCUAGGGCUACACACGUGCUACAAUGGGGCGUACAGAGUGUUGCGAUACCGCGAGGUGGAGCUAAUCACUUAAAGCGUCUCUCAGUUCGGAUAGCAGUCUGCAACUCGACUGCUUGAAGCUGGAAUCACUAGUAAUCGUAGAUCAGCAAUGCUACGGUGAAUACGUUCCCGGGUCU